rnacentral:rRNA from 1 species
AUUGAACGCUGGCGGCAUGCCUUACACAUGCAAGUCGAACGGUAACAGGUUAAGCUGACGAGUGGCGAACGGGUGAGUAAUGUAUCGGAACGUGCCCAGUCGUGGGGGAUAACUGCUCGAAAGAGCAGCUAAUACCGCAUACGACCUGAGGGUGAGAGCGGGGGAUCGCAAGACCUCGCGCGAGUGGAGCGGCCGAUAACAGAUUAGGUAGUUGGUGGGGUAAAGGCCUACCAAGCCUACGAUCUGUAGCUGGUCUGAGAGGACGACCAGCCACACUGGGACUGAGACACGGCCCAGACUCCUACGGGAGGCAGCAGUGGGGAAUUUUGGACAAUGGACGCAAGUCUGAUCCAGCCAUGCCGCGUGCGGGAAGAAGGCCUUCGGGUUGUAAAGCUCUUUCGCAAGGGAAGAAAACUUAGCCACUAACAUUGGCUGAGGUUGACGGUACCUUGAUAAGAAGCACCGGCUAGCUACGUGCCAGCAGCCGCAGUAACAC